AUUGAACGCUUGCGGCAGGCUUAACACAUGCAAGUCGAGCGGAGUGAUGGUGCUUGCACCAUCACUUAGCGGCGAACGGGUGAGUAAUGCCUAGGAAUCUGCCCAUUAGCGGGGGACAACGUGUGGAAACGCACGCUGAUACCGCAUACGCCCUACGGGGGAAAGCAGGGGACUCUUUGAGCCUUGCACUAAUGGAUGAGCCUAGGUCAGAUUAGCUAGUUGGUGGGGUAAAGGCCUACCAAGGCGACGAUCUGUAGCGGGUCUGAGAGGAUGAUCCGCCACACUGGAACUGAGACACGGUCCAGACUCCUACGGGAGGCAGCAGUGGGGAAUAUUGGACAAUGGGCGCAAGCCUGAUCCAGCCAUGCCGCGUGUGUGAAGAAGGCCUUUUGGUUGUAAAGCACUUUAAGCGAGGAGGCUACUGGUACUAAUAUUACCAGCUAGUGGACGUUACUCGCAGAAUAAGCACCGGCUAACUCUGUGCCAGCAGCCGCGGUAAUACAGAGGGUGCGAGCGUUAAUCGGAAUUACUGGGCGUAAAGCGCGCGUAGGCGGUUUGUUAAGUCGGAUGUGAAAUCCCCGGGCUCAACCUGGGAAUUGCAUUCGAUACUGGCAAGCUAGAGUAUGGGAGAGGAAGGUAGAAUUCCAGGUGUAGCGGUGAAAUGCGUAGAGAUCUGGAGGAAUACCGAUGGCGAAGGCAGCCUUCUGGCCUAAUACUGACGCUGAGGUGCGAAAGCAUGGGGAGCAAACAGGAUUAGAUACCCUGGUAGUCCAUGCCGUAAACGAUGUCAACUAGCCGUUGGGGGAUUUGAUCCUUUAGUGGCGCAGCUAACGCGAUAAGUUGACCGCCUGGGGAGUACGGUCGCAGGACUAAAACUCAAAUGAAUUGACGGGGGCCCGCGCAAGCGGUGGAGCAUGUGGUUUAAUUCGAUGCAACGCGAAGAACUUUACCUGGUCUUGACAUAGUGAGAAUCCUGCAGAGAUGCGGGAGUGCCUUCGGGAAUUCACAUACAGGUGCUGCAUGGCUGUCGUCAGCUCGUGUCGUGAGAUGUUGGGUUAAGUCCCGCAACGAGCGCAACCCUUUUCCUUAUUUGCCAGCACUUCGGGUGGGAACUCUAAGGAUACUGCCAGUGACAAACUGGAGGAAGGCGGGGACGACGUCAAGUCAUCAUGGCCCUUACGACCAGGGCUACACACGUGCUACAAUGGUCGGUACAAAGGGUUGCUACACAGCGAUGUGAUGCUAAUCUCAAAAAGCCGAUCGUAGUCCGGAUUGGAGUCUGCAACUCGACUCCAUGAAGUCGGAAUCGCUAGUAAUCGCGGAUCAGAAUGCCGCGGUGAAUACGUUCCCGGGCCU
rnacentral:rRNA from 1 species